rnacentral:lncRNA from 1 species
UUGUUUUCCCCAUAGAGCAGAAUUUCUUUGCAUCAUGAGAGAGUUGUGUGAUCUCAGGUAGAUAAAUCUGUCCUAACUCAGAAAGGAGAAGUGUGACUAGACUCUCACCGGCCUUCAGGAGACGUCAGUUCUCUUCCCAAAGUAAUUGCAUGAUGGUGAAAGUGGUUUCUGAAGCUCAGUUUAUGAAGUGGAGAGGGCGAGGGAAGAGGCUACUGGGUCCUGAAUGGUGAGGACUUGUAAAAGGGCAGCGGCUAAUAGAAUAAAUGCUUCAACCAGCAUUAGGAUUAGGGGUGGGUGCACACAGUGGAUGCUGGCGUUAGGGUGGGUUGUUCUUGGGGGUGUAGGGAGUGGGAGAGUGUUACAUGGGGCAAUGGUAUUACACAGUGGUGUUCAGGUGGGACUUGGGGUGUAUGUGUGUUUUGUUUGGGGUGUAGGAUUAGGAUGUGAAUAGGGUAUUAAGAGUGCAUUCAGGCCAGGUGUGGUGGCAUAGCCUGUAAUUCCAGCACUUUGGGAGGCCGAGGCAGGCAGAUUGCUUGAACCCAGGCUCUUUUCAUCUUCUCUGCCCCGUUGUAGAGUAUUGACUUUCAUCUUUCUGGGAAGGGGCUGCUGUACCUCCAGGCAUCAUGGCCAUAGGCGAGGCAGGAGGAAGGAGCAGUACAUCACACCAGCUGGGGCUGUUUACUUUUAUUGGGAAAGUCAUAAACUUUCCCA